rnacentral:rRNA from 1 species
AUUGAACGCUGGCGGCACGCCUUACACAUGCAAGUCGAACGGCAGCACGGGAGCAAUCCUGGUGGCGAGUGGCGAACGGGUGAGUAAAGUAUCGGAACGUGCCCAGUCGUGGGGGAUAACGUAGCGAAAGUUACGCUAAUACCGCAUACGAUCUAUGGAUGAAAGCGGGGGAUCGCAAGACCUCGCGCGAUUGGAGCGGCCGAUAUCAGAUUAGGUAGCUGGUGGGGUAAAGGCUCACCAAGCCGACGAUCUGUAGCUGGUCUGAGAGGACGACCAGCCACACUGGGACUGAGACACGGCCCAGACUCCUACGGGAGGCAGCAGUGGGGAAUUUUGGACAAUGGGCGAAAGCCUGAUCCAGCCAUGCCGCGUGCAGGAUGAAGGCCUUCGGGUUGUAAACUGCUUUUGUACGGAACGAAAAGGUUUGGCCUAAUAAGCUGAGCUCAUGACGGUACCGUAAGAAUAAGCACCGGCUAACUACGUGCCAGCCGCCGCGGUAA